rnacentral:lncRNA from 1 species
AAGAGGUUCGAAAUCCAUGAUCUUUUAAAGUGGUUUACUCUCGAAACGAGUAGCCUUGAUAUUGCACAUAAUAUAUCUAAGAAAGGGACCAACUGAUGCAUACAAUGCUCAAUCUCCAUUGUUCUACCCUUUUCCCAAUUAUACAAGUUACUCAAUCACUUCAUAAUGUCGAACCCAACUCCCAUCUCUCACCAAAAGACCCCAAGAACACUUUGCACAUACAACUCUUUUUCUUUGAAAUCUAUAAAGGAUUUUCUUAACUUCUAAACAAAUCUUAGCUCUAAACAACUUUGCUAGCCCCUUUUUUUUUAAUUUUGUUUUUGUUUGGGGGCCAAGACUUUUCACAAAUCGAGCUAGAAGUUUCUCUACUUAUCUCAUAAAAACUAGUCAAUUAAACACAAGAGUUCACUCUUUUCCUUCAACUUUCUCAUACUCCCAAAUCGAACUUCACAACACUCACCCCCAUCCUAUGGCUAGACAAUAAUGUGCC